ACGAUGCAUCAAUUAAAGAGGAUCUCAAUCGGCCUAUAGUUAAUCACGAUUCAGUGGUUGUACGAAAAUUGGAGAAAAAUAUAGGACUUUUUGUGUUGAGCUGCUACGAGAUUUGACUGCUAAACAACUUUCGGACGAAUGUCGAGUCAAUUUCCGACUUCCACUUUGCAAGAUUUUGGACGGUCGGAUCACUGCCUCGCUUUGGACACAGCACUAUGUUGAUGAUUUACAAGCCGAAUAGAUGAGCUUAAUUUUGACGGAAACACGUAAUUAACAACGGUCUCACGAGAAUUGAACAGGCAAGCGCUUCGUGGACAUGUAAAAAAAAAUAUUUCAUUCAAACUAUUCAUACGAUUCCAACACCAGUACAGAACGGAAAAUCCAACACUAUGGACCUAUAAAAUAAAAUCGUUUGUCGGGAAUGCAAAUUAAUUUCGCAGUCAGUUUCACCUGACUCUAAAUCACCUGAGACUUUAAACCAACUGAAAAAAUUAAGCGUAAAUGUGAAAGAUGAAGGAUGGGUGAUGUGAAUGGAUGAUGUUCUCUGGAGCUACACACAUGAAACCAAUGAAUCCCGGACUUUACAAAAUUCUAGAAGAACGUGCUAAUGUCUACAAGAUUGUCACUCCGGUUUUGAGAUAAACACCGCCUUCAAAUGAGAAAUAUUCAGCGGAACUGAAACGAUUAGGCCGAGUAUCUAUUGCCGUGCCAACUGCUACGCAGGGACUAACUACCAGUUAUCUUCGUACGAAGUAGUGCUGCUCAUGGUGCGAAUUGUUUCGGAUGAUGAGAAAAUCUGGAGAUGGGAAAUCGGAUGAUGAGAAAAGACGGUGCGUUAUCAGGAUCUGUACGCUAAACAUACAAAUUAUUCAUCAAAGUCAAACAAACCAAGGCGCAAGGCAUUUCAGAUAUGCGUUCAAAGGUGUACAAGCGCAAAAGAAAAAUCAGUAGCAUGAGUGAGCUUAACGGGUUAC